AUUGAACGCUGGCGGCAGGCCUAACACAUGCAAGUCGAACGAGUGGCGGACGGGUGAGUAAUGUUUGGGAAUCUGCCCUAUGGAGGGGGAUAACUACGGGAAACUGUAGCUAAUACCGCAUACCAUCGGAUGAGCCCAAAUGGGAUUAGGUUGUAGGUGAGGUAAAGGCUCACCAAGGCGACGAGCCCUAGCGGGUCUGAGAGGAUGACCAGCCACACUGGAACUGAGACACGGGCCAGACUCCUACGGGAGGCAGCAGUGGGGAAUAUUGCACAAUGGGCGCAAGCCUGAUGCAGCCAUGCCGCGUGGAUGAAGAAGGCCUUCGGGUUGUAAAGUACUUUCAGCGGGGAGGCGUUACCCGCAGAAGAAGCACCGGCUAACUCCGUGCCAGCAGCCGCGGUAAUAC
rnacentral:rRNA from 1 species